rnacentral:rRNA from 1 species
CCUACGGGUGGCAGCAGUGAGGAAUAUUGGUCAAUGGGCGCGAGCCUGAACCAGCCAAGUCGCGUGAAGGAUGACUGUUCUAUGGAUCGUAAACCUCUUUUAUAAGGGAAUAAAUUGUGGGACGUGUCCUAUUUUGUAUGUACCUUAUGAAUAAGGAUCGGCUAACUCCGUGCCAGCAGCCGCGGUAAUACGGAGGAUCCGAGCGUUAUCCGGAUUUAUUGGGUUUAAAGGGGGAGUAGGUGUGUUUUUAAGUCAGUGGUGAAAGUAUGCGGCUCAACCAUAAAAUUGCCGUUGAUACUGGGGGGCUUGAGUAUGUUUGAGGUAGGCGGAAUGCGUGGUGUAGCGGUGAAAUGCUUAGAUAUCACGAAGAACCCCGAUUGCGAAGGCAGCCUACUAAGCCAUGACUGACGUUGAUGCACGAAAGCGUGGGGAUCAAACAGGAUUAGAUACCCUAGAAGUC